rnacentral:rRNA from 1 species
AUGGCAUCGGAGCCAGUUGCGCUACUGGACGACGCCCUCGCAGAGGUCCUCCGGCGUCUCGCGCCGCACGUCCUGGCCGAGGCCCGGCAGGUCUGCAAGGCGUGGCGCGACGCCGUUGACAACCGCCUGCGCGGCAGCAUGCUUUCGCGCUCGGUGCGUGGCAUCUUCAUCACCUUCACGGCGUGGCACUUCUCGUUCUCGGAGUUCUUCUCCCGCCCCUCGAGGGGCCCGGCGAUCGACGGAGGGCUCUAUUUCCUGCCGUACAUGGACGUCAAGGUCACAGACCACUGCGAGGGCCUUUUGCUUUGCCGUGAGUCGAGCGACGGUGCACUGCCGCACCCGCGCGAGUACGUCGUCAACCCGGCCACCCGUCGGUGGGCGCGUUUGCCCAAACGCCCCUUGCCGCACAUGCCAGGAUUAGAAUACACCGCCCACCUCGUGUUGGAGCCCGCCGUGUCGCCGCACUACCAGGUCUUUCUGAUCCCACGCGUACCAUGGCGACUGCCAGCCGAUGGCGAAUCCGACGACGACAACCCGUUGCUCAAAUUGGAAUGGCCUUCCUUGUCAUACCUCAUCCAUGUGUUCUCGUCGGUGACUCAGCGAUGGGACGAGACGACCUUCCUUCGGGAAGGGGAGGCUGCCGGGAUCAUCGCCGACAUGCAGUCAAAUUGGUGGUAUGAUCAGCCUCUUUAUCGUGCUGUCUACUGGCAAAACGCACUCUACAUCCAUUGCCAACAUAACUAUCUUAUGAGGAUGACCUUGUCAGAUCACACAUACAUAGUAAUUAAACUACCAUGUGCCAAAAUUAAAAAAAAAACUACCAUGUGCCGGUGA